GACGAACGCUGGCGGCGUGCCUAAUACAUGCAAGUAGAACGCACAGUUUAUACCGUAGCUUGCUACACCAUAGACUGUGAGUUGCGAACGGGUGAGUAACGCGUAGGUAACCUGCCUGGUAGCGGGUGAUAACUAUUGGAAACGAUACCUAAUACCGCAUAAUAUUAAUUAUUGCAUGAUAAUUGAUUGAAUUGUGCAACUGCAUCGCUACCAGAUGGACCUGCGUUGUAUUAGCUAGUAGGUCAGGUAACGGCUCACCUAGGCGACGAUUCAUAGCCGACCUUGGGAGGGGGUCGGCCACACCGGGAACGGGGACACGGCCAGGAUUCUACGGGGAGCAGCAGUAGGGAAUCUUCGGCAAUGGACGAAAGUCCGACCGAGGCACGCCGCGGGAGUGAAGAAGGUUUUCGGAUCGUAAAGCUCUGUUGUAAGGGAAGAACGGAUGUUGUAGUUGAAAGUUCACGCUGUGACGGUACCUUACCAGAAAGGGACGGCUAACUACGUG
rnacentral:rRNA from 1 species